UCGACCUGAGCUCAGGCAAGAUUA
rnacentral:rRNA from 1 species